rnacentral:rRNA from 1 species
UACGGAGGGUGCAAACGUUGCUCGGAAUCAUUGGGCGUAAAGCGCACGUAGGCGGACUGUUAAGUCGGACGUGAAAUCCCUCAGCUUAACUGAGGAAGUGCAUUCGAAACUGGCAGUCUUGAGUACGGGAGAGGGUCGCGGAAUUCCCGGUGUAGAGGUGAAAUUCGUAGAUAUCGGGAGGAACACCAGUGGCGAAGGCGGCGGCCUGGACCGAUACUGACGCUGAGGCGCGAAAGCGUGGGGAGCAAACGGG